rnacentral:rRNA from 1 species
GAUGAACGCUGGCGGCGUGCCUAAUACAUGCGAGUCGAGCGAAUGGAUUAAGAGCUUGCUCUUAUGAAGUUAGCGGCGGACGGGUGAGUAACACGUGGGUAACCUGCCCAUAAGACUGGGAUAACUCCGGGAAACCGGGGCUAAUACCGGAUAACAUUUUGAACCGCAUGGUUCGAAAUUGAAAGGCGGCUUCGGCUGUCACUUAUGGAUUGACCCGCGUCGCAUUAGCUAGUUGGUGAGGUAACGGCUCACCAAGGCAACGAUGCGUAGCCGACCUGAGAGGGUGAUCGGCCACACUGGGACUGAGACACGGCCCAGACUCCUACGGGAGGCAGCAGUAGGGAAUCUUCCGCAAUGGACGAAAGUCUGACGGAGCAACGCCGCGUGAGUGAUGAAGGCUUUCGGGUCGUAAAACUCUGUUGUUAGGGAAGAACAAGUGCUAGUUGAAUAAGCUGGCACCUUGACGGUACCUAACCAGAAAGCCACGGCUAACUACGUGCCAGCCGCCGCCGUAA